GACGAACGCUGGCGGCGUGCUUAACACAUGCAAGUCGAACGGUAAGGCCCUGCAUGCAUGGUAACCGAGUGGCCAACGGGUGGGUAAGUCGUGGGUGAGCUGCCCGGCACUUCGGGAUAAGCCAGGUAAACUGACUAUAAUACCGACUAGGAGCAAACUUUAGAGUGAUGGUUGAAAAGUUUUAUCUGUGUAGGCUGCGCUCGCGGCUAAUCAGCUGUUGGGUGGGGUAAUGGCCUACCAAGGCGCUGACGGGUAGGCGGCCUGAGAGGGUGGACGGCAACAUUGGGACUGCGAGACGGCCCAGACGCCAACGGUAGGCAGCAGUGGAGAGUAUUACACAAUGGGGGCAAGCCUGAUGCAGCGAUGCUGCGUGGGUGAUGACGGCCUUCGGGUUGAAAACGCCUUUCGCUAGGGACGACGCUUUUUGUGACGGUACCUAGAUAAGAAGCGCCGGCUAACUACGUG
rnacentral:rRNA from 1 species